rnacentral:rRNA from 1 species
UACAGAGGGGGCAAGCGUUUAUUCGGAAUUAUUUGGGCGUAAAAGGGCGCGUAGGCGGCUUGGCAAGUGGAAGGUGAAAUCCCUCGGCUUAACCGAGGAACUGCCCUCCAAACUGCUUCGGCUUGAGACCGGGGAGAGGUGAGUGGAAUUCCCGGUGUAGCGGUGAAAUGCGCAGAUAGUCGGGAGGAACACCGAUGGCGAAGGCAGGUCUCUGGGCCACUCUGACGCUGGAGAAGCGAAAGCAUGGGGAGCGAACAGG